AUCUAGAUAACAUCCUUGUUCUCCUGGGCCUUGCUUUCUGUACUUCAUCUUCAUCUUCAAGCAUUGUAUUUUUGGCUUUUGCUUUAACACGUUUCUUGUUACCAUGGACACCUUUUUCGUUUUGUUCAGGCAUAUUCGUCUCAAUGCAUUCAUCCUCCGAGCCAUCUGAUAUUACAACAGAUCUCAGUCUCCUUUUAUUGCCACUUCGGAGCUCACGGGAUGAUGACGAUAUUUUGUCUUGACUCUUAUCUUUGUUUAAUGUAGUCCCAUUGAUGUCAUGUGGCUCCUCUUUCACAGGCACCAGUUCGCAUGAAAGUUUGCCAGGUGAAACUUUAUUAUUCUUUGACUGCAAACAUAUACAUUUUUAAAAUUAGACACAUCUAUAAAAUCUAAAGUGUGUAUAUAGUUUUAAAAAAUCAAUCACCUUUCUAUCUAGCAUGUUCUGCUUCUUCAUUAAUACGAUGUCAACCUCAUCAUCCAUCAGUUCCUGUGCAACAUAUGUAAGAUUAAUUAGUUAAGGAAUUCUAAAAAUGGUAAAAAUUUAAUGCAACUUUACCUCCUCGGCUUUAUUGUCCAAGUAGAGCAUCUCAAGCUUAUCAUCAGGAACAAAUGUUCUUUUUACUGCAUAGUUUUUUGUGCCAAAUGUGAGAUUACUAUCAUUGAGCUUGAAUCGAAAUAUAAGUCUUUUUCCACAUAAUUGUUGAAUAAUCUUUGGUGCUUCUUCUAAUUUCCCAUCUACUGUGUCCAACAACUUAGAUGCAGACAUAUUAACCAAUCUUGCAGCCUCCUCGUUAAAUAAAGUGCAGCUUGUAGUAGAUGUAUGGUCACUAAUUUGGAGACGAACACGAUACCUAACAUACAAUUCAUUUUAGUGGAGAGUAAAUACAAUAUAACAAUGCUUGUUCAUAUUUUAGUAAUAUAAUAUGCUUACCGUGGUGUGACCUUUUCUAGAUAUAUACCACAAUUCUUGCAAUAAUACUUGUCGGUUUCUUUAGUAGCCAAUUUGUGACACUUACACAUGACAUGUACCACCAUUGAAUAUUUUCUUGCAAACAGUCUAUUGUAGCUAUUGCUGUGAAGACAAAAUUCUAAAAAAAAUCAACGUUAGCAUUGGGGUAGGGGUAGGGGAUUAAGAGACAUAUAUAAGUACAUUAUGGUUUCAUUAUAAUUAAUAUUGAAUGAAUUGUCCUUGCAGGUAUUUUACUCAUAUUACAAAGACUAAUGACAUAUUUAUUGAAAUUCAAUGCAUUACCUGGUCUAGCUGGUUUUCGUGCCUCAUUGUAGUAAGUUGUUCCAAUUUUUUCCUCCUACAAAACAUUUGUUCUUCUAGUGUUCCUUGAUUACUCCUAUCUAUACUGAUCAUUUUUGGUAAGGUUUCUUCUGUCGAGUCCCUGCACAUGCAUGAAGUGAAUAAUAAUAUUGAAUCUUAAAUGAACGUGAGUCACUAUUUAUAAGUGGAAAAUAAAUAAAUUGGUGGUAUUUCAUACCUAUCAAGAAGUUCUUGUGUUUCUGGUAUAUCCAGAUCUAUGUAUAUUCUUGUGGCACUGGUUGACUUUAGGCACAGACCAAUUUAAUCCAUCAGUUAGAAUUUUAAAUGAUAAAAAUAACAUGUAAGUUUGAUGGAUUUACCAUUAAAUCUCUGUACCAUCGUUGAUGUAAUAAUAAGGACAGUUUGGCUGCCGAUUACAUCCUCGGUCAAAAAAUAAGCAAACUUUCCCCAUAACGUGAUUCUGAUUUUAUCACCCCUAAAGCAUUUAAUACGAGAAGUUAGUGCACACGGGGAGGUUUGAUUAAAUUUGAGACAUGCAUAUGCAUAUGCACUUACUCUGGCAUUAGGAUUUCAAUCUCGCGGAUAUAUGAAGGUUGUUGGUUCUUCUUUGUUAUUCUUGUCUCCACAGGCUUCAUUUGUGUUAGUAGUCCAAUGACAUCUGCAUAUUUGGAUAUUAGUGAUAUAACAAUUAGAAUAUCAACUAUUUCUAAGUCGAAAUUACAACUAUAAACAUACCUGAGCAUUGUGUAUCUUUUUCUGCCAUUUCUUAUAGUGUCUCCAUGGUAGCAAACUCGAAGCAAUAAUCUGGGAAAACUUCUAAAGAUUCUUUUAUCUCCUUUACCUUUGUAUUGUAUGCAAAAAAAUAUUUUAAUGUCAUUGCUCACUGGCCUAUAUUUUGUGGAUUCCACGACCUUAAAAUUGCUGAAUGCAUAAAUAGAUUUUUCAUUGAUCUUUGAUCUAAAAGUGUCUAUAAGAUUCUUCCAGAUAGUAACAUGGAUUGUUUCACCCUGCCGAAAGAAUAAAAUAUGGUUAGUAAUUGUUUCUUCAUGUGACAGAAAGAUUCCAAUUAAAUAUAUUAAAAAAACACCUGCUCGUCCAUUAGUAUCAUAUCUAGGCUAAUAAGCUCAUCGGUCGUAGGAUUGAUCGAAUCCCAUAUUCUCAUUACUUUCACUUGAAUGUUCCAAUUUUGUCCCAUUGUAGUUAAGUCGCUCAACUUUUUGUAUGCCAUAGUGUUAUGUCUUCAAAAUUAACAGGAACAAUUUGUCAGUUGAUAUACUAUUUAUGAAGAUUUCUAUUGAAAAGAAAGUAAGCAUACUAAAUAAAAUUACCAAUCUGAUGAUGUAGGCCAGAAGUGCUUUGGGGUCACUUCUUCCGACGUGGAUUGUAGCAGCUGGGCGUAACUUUGUCGGGCGUCGACUGUGCUCUGGCGUGACUUUGUUGGAAGUCAAAAGAAGCGGCUGGAGGUGGCUUUCGGUGUGGAUGUCGAGUUGCGUGUGCCUUGUUCAAGUCUUCGUGGUUGCCGACUUCUACUUAUUUGUUGGGUGCUUGUGCGGCCAGGUGCACUUGUUUAUAUAAUGGGUUAAGGUGUCUAGGUUGGGUGUCCGAGACCGUGUGGAGAUCAUAUUGUAAACUUGUCUUAUCUGCAUGUAAUCGUUUCUGUUUUGGAACUUUCCUCACGUGGUCUGGUGGCUGUCCUUAUUUGUUUAGAUUCCUUAUUUGUCUAGGUUUGACUAUUGUUUGUUGUUAUCCUUGACCCAUUGAUGUGAAGGUUUUUUUUGUUUGUGCGUGCUAGUUUUGUUUCGAUGGACAUGAACGCUCUUUUAAACCUGUGUGCACUAUUUGUAUGUGCCAUGUUCU
rnacentral:lncRNA from 1 species